rnacentral:rRNA from 1 species
UACGUAGGGGCAAGCGUUGUCCGGAUUAUUGGGCGUAAAGGAGCGUGUAGGCGGCCAGGGAGGUCCGUUGUGAAACUCGAGGCUCAACCUCGAGACGCCGAUGGAAACCCCUGGCUAGCAGUCCGGAAGAGGAGAAUGGAAUUCCUGGUGUAGCGGUGGAAAUGCGCAGAUAUCAGGAGAACACCCGUGGCUAAGGCGGUUCUCUAGUACGGUACUGACGCUGAGACGCGAAAGCGUGGGGAGCGAACAGG